GUGACAUUUGCAGCGUGAGCUCCCUCUGCAGAAUGUACUUCAGGAAGCUCCUGAACCCUCUGCUGACCGACCAACUGUAUGAGAAGUUCUCAGUAAGCACAAGGCGAUGUCUUUCAUUUCCCUCUUCCCUGGGCCUCUUGGCAUGGCCUGUCACCAAAGCGAGUCUGCCUGUGUCAGAGGAAGAGCUGCCUUCAUGGAGGCAAGAUGUGGAAUUCAUCUUGAACCACACAGAUGUCCUCUUCAGCUCCAAAUCCAGCUCAGUCAUUGGAGAUGGAGCAGAAGAACUUCACCCAACGAGAUGAAGAAAUCACCAGCUGGCAGUUGUCAUUCCUGCUUCAGCCUGGGAAAUCCAUCCUCUGUGGCCAAAUGCAAACUGCAGCACAAUUCCAGGAGGCCUCAGAAAUGGAAGUCAUAGUCCUGGCAGGUGAAUCUAACCAGCUCCAACCCAAAAGACCCAGACCCAGUAGCGGUGCUCUCAAGAAGCAUGAAUUGCUGCACUUGUGAUGGCAACCUUCCAUAAGACAACAGUGAUGGGGAGAAGGAGCUCAUCCACUUGGACAGUCUGCUGCAUAUGAGCCAGCAGUGUGCCCAGGUGGCCAAGGCGGCCAGCAGCAUCCUGGCUUGGAUCCGUAAUGAUGUGGUGAGCACCACUGGAAAAGUCAUCCUGCCCCUGUACUGCGCACUGGUGAGGCCUCACCUCGAGUGCUGUGUUCAGUUUUGGGCACCUUGGUACAGAAGGGAAACCGAGGUACUGGAGCAGGUCCAAAGAAGGGCUACAAAGCUGAUGAAGGGCUUGUGAAGGGCCUGGGGCCCCCAGCACAAGAAAGACGCAGAGCUCUUGGACCGGGUCCAGAGGAGGGCCACUAAGAUGACCACAGGGCUUUCUUCUCCUCUGAAGAAAGGUUGGGGGAACUGGGCUUGUUCAGCUUGGAGAAGAGAAGGCUCCAGAGAGACCUCAUGGUGGCCUUCCAAUACUUGAAGGGAGCACAUAAACAGGAGGGGGAAUGACAUGGGUUGAUAGCGAUAGGACAAGGGGG
rnacentral:lncRNA from 1 species